UAUGGCCAUAUCACGUUAAAACAACUGUUCUCGUACCAUCACCGAAGUUAAACGUCGUCAAACCUCGUCAGUACCCAGAUGGGUGACCUCUUGGGAAUACCAGGAGCUGCAAG